UAAUGGCUCACCAAGGCGACGAUCCCUAGCUGGUCUGAGAGGAUGAUCAGCCACACUGGAACUGAGACACGGUCCAGACUCCUACGGGAGGCAGCAGUGGGGAAUAUUGCACAAUGGGCGCAAGCCUGAUGCAGCCAUGCCGCGUGUGUGAAGAAGGCCUUCGGGUUGUAAAGCACUUUCAGUCGUGAGGAAGGUAGUAUUGUUAAUAGCAGNAUCAUUUGACGUUAGCGACAGAAGAAGCACCGGCUAACUCCGUGCCAGCAGCCGCGGUAAUACGGAGGGUGCGAGCGUUAAUCGGAAUUACUGGGCGUAAAGCGCAUGCAGGUGGUUUGUUAAGUCAGAUGUGAAAGCCCGGGGCUCAACCUCGGAAUAGCAUUUGAAACUGGCAGACUAGAGUACUGUAGAGGGGGGUAGAAUUUCA
rnacentral:rRNA from 1 species